rnacentral:tRNA from 1 species
GGGCCAGUGGCUAAGCCAGGUAUAGCGACAGUACACUCAGACCUGCUCUGAUGUGUUGAAGCUCUCAACUUGUUGGUCGAGGGUUCAAAUCCCUCCUGGCCCG